AGCCUGAACUGAAGCAGGGAAAGUGGGAAUUUGAUGCGCGACGGUGACUGUGCGCGAGCGUCUCGCUGGCUCGUGGGCCCAGAUGAGGUGGCGAGCCGUCCCCGUCCCCGAUCCCGUCUCCACGGAGUCUAUCUAGUGGGGAAAAUGUGAAAAACUGCGGGGAAGCAAACGACGGCGACCGGCGGCGGGGUGUCGCCGCGGCGAGAUGACGUCAGUUAGGACCCUGAUCGACCAGUUUGUCUCUGCAGCGAAUUCACCCACGAAGGGCAGCGCCGCGACCCAGUUAUUGCAGUUAGCAAACCUUGCUGAAACAAUCAUUCUGAUUUAUGAAAGUUCAUUGCUUUGAGGGUGGAAAUCUGAAGAAUCAAUUAGAGCUUUCCAUUUGGUAUUGGAAAAAACAACCCAUGUCACUGUCAAUCUGUUUAUGGGGGGAAAUGGCAACAUGGAUUGGUGUCCCUACAUAUUAAGGUUCUGAAACUGUUGUCGGAGGUGGCAACACAGAAAGAAGAACUGCGUAAACAGAGCUGACAGCAAGAAGUUUCCCUCUGUAACAUGGUGCAGAGGUCCUAAUUUAUAGCAAGAAGUUCCCUGAUGUAUAGGGAAUUGUUGACACAUUGAUGAAGGAGUUCAUUGAUUUAGCAUUUACGCAGUUCCACAUGUUCCCACUAUUUUUUUUUCCUUUGGAAUUGAUUGACAAAAUUGCCAGAUAUUUGAUCUAUGGUGCAUGAACCAUGGAAGAUGCUUCAUCAUCUUUCAUGUAUGGAGCUCCUGAAGGCAUAUCUGACACUGUGAUUAAAGAUGCAUCGGCAGUGUCACACAUAAAUGUGCGGAGCUAUCGCCAAACUGUAGAUACUGAAGUUGUACCAGUGAGUGAUCAUUGCAAAUUUGCAAUCAUUUGGGUCCAAUCUAUAUUAAAAUCACGCUGGAUGAGUUGCACAGGAUA